rnacentral:rRNA from 1 species
UACAGAGGGUGCAAGCGUUGUUCGGAAUCAUUGGGCGUAAAGGGCGCGUAGGCGGCCGAGCGGGUCGCGGGUGAAAUCCUCCAGCUUAACUGGAGAACUGCCCUCGAUACCACUGCGGCUCGAGGAAGGAAGGGGCAAUCGGAACUGUCGGUGGAGCGGUGAAAUGCGUUGAUAUCGACAGGAACGCCGGUGGCGAAAGCGGAUUGCUGGUCCUUUUCUGACGCUGAGGCGCGAAAGCCAGGGGAGCAAACGGG